GGCAAUCCGAUACCAAUGUUUUAUACUGAAAUCGGAUCCCCUUCUCUCUCCAUACACCUUCCACCAACUCCUAAUACUUUAUUUUUUGCUUCAUUCCUUC
ensembl:ncRNA C44C11.4 ncRNA